rnacentral:piRNA from 1 species
UGCUGUUUGUCACCCAAGGACGGGUAAGGG